rnacentral:rRNA from 1 species
AGGUGGGGCACUCUAAGGAGACUGCCGGUGACAAACCGGAGGAAGGUGGGGAUGACGUCAAGUCAUCAUGGCCCUUACGGCCUGGGCUACACACGUGCUACAAUGGUCGGUACAAAGGGUUGCCAAGCCGCGAGGUGGAGCUAAUCCCAUAAAACCGAUCGUAGUCCGGAUCGCAGUCUGCAACUCGACUGCGUGAAGUCGGAAUCGCUAGUAAUCGUGAAUCAGAAUGUCACGGUGAAUACGUUCCCGGGCCUU